GCCUUCGUGGUGUAAUGGCAGCACACUGAGCCGGUAUUUCAGAGGUCCGUGGUUCUAUUCCCGGCGAAGGCC
rnacentral:tRNA from 1 species